rnacentral:rRNA from 1 species
AGGACGAACGCUGGCGGCGUGCUUAAUACAUGCAAGUCGAGCGGUGAUCCUCCUUCGGGAGGUGAUCAGCGGCGAACGGGUGAGUAACACGUGGGCAACCUGCCCCUCACACUGGGAUAACCUCGGGAAACCGGGCUAAUACCGGAUACGACCUCGAGCGGCAUCUCUUGAGGUGGAAAGCUCCGACGGUGAGGGAUGGGCCCGCGGCCUAUCAGCUUGUUGGUGGGGUAAUGGCCUACCAAGGCGACGACGGGUA